AUUGAACGCUGGCGGAAUGCCUUACACAUGCAAGUCGAACGGCAGCACGGGAGCAAUCCUGGUGGCGAGUGGCGAACGGGUGAGUAAUACAUCGGAACGUGCCCAAUCGUGGGGGAUAACGUAGCGAAAGCUACGCUAAUACCGCAUACGAUCUACGGAUGAAAGCAGGGGAUCGCAAGACCUUGCGCGAAUGGAGCGGCCGAUGGCAGAUUAGGAGUUGGUGAGGUAAAGGCUCACCAAGCCUUCGAUCUGUAGCUGGUCUGAGAGGACGA
rnacentral:rRNA from 1 species